rnacentral:rRNA from 1 species
GGCAUAUCAAUAAGCGGAGGAAAAGAAACCAACAGGGAUUGCUCUAGUAACGGCGAGUGAAGCAGCAAUAGCUCAAAUUUGAAAUCUGGCGUCUUCGACGUCCGAGUUGUAAUUUGUAGAGGAUGCUUCUGAGUGGCCACCGACCUAAGUUCCUUGGAACAGGACGUCAUAGAGGGUGAGAAUCCCGUAUGCGGUCGGAAAGGCGCUCUAUACGUAGCUCCUUCGACGAGUCGAGUUGUUUGGGAAUGCAGCUCUAAAUGGGAGGUAAAUUUCUUCUAAAGCUAAAUAUUGGCCAGAGACCGAUAGCGCACAAGUAGAGUGAUCGAAAGAUGAAAAGCACUUUGGAAAGAGAGUUAAAAAGCACGUGAAAUUGUUAAAAGGGAAGGGAUUGCAACCAGACUUGCUCGCGGUGUUCCGCCGGUCUUCUGACCGGUCUACUCGCCGCGUUGCAGGCCAGCAUCGUCUGGUGCCGCUGGAUAAGACUUGAGGAAUGUAGCUCCCUCGGGAGUGUUAUAGCCUCUUGUGAUGCAGCGAGCGCCGGGCGAGGUCCGCGCUUCGGCUAGGAUGCUGGCGUAAUGGUCGUAAUCCGCCCGUCUUGAAACACGGACCAAGGAGUCUAACAUCUAUGCGAGUGUUCGGGUGUCAAACCCCUACGCGUAAUGAAAGUGAACGGAGGUGAGAACCGCAAGGUGCAUCAUCGACCGAUCCUGAUGUCUUCGGAUGGAUUUGAGUAAGAGCAUAGCUGUUGGGACCCGAAAGAUGGUGAACUAUGCCUGAAUAGGGUGAAGCCAGAGGAAACUCUGGUGGAGGCUCGCAGCGGUUCUGACGUGCAAAUCGAUCGUCAAAUUUGGGUAUAGGGGGCGAAAGACUAAUCGAACCAUCUAGUAGCUGGUUCCUGCCGAAGU